rnacentral:rRNA from 1 species
AGCGGGGAGGAAGGUGUUGUGGUUAAUAACCUCGGCGAUUGACGUUACCCGCAGAAGAAGCACCGGCUUACUCCAUGCAAGCAGCCGCGGUAAU